UUUAGAAACAUUUGUGGUAAAAAUGGGUCAUUCUGAAGAGCUCUGUGAAUUCAAGUGUGGUACUAUGAUAGGAUGCCACCUCUGCAAUAAGUCAGUUUGUGAAAUUUCAUCCUUGCUAGUUAUUCCACGGCAAACUAUAAGUGGCAUUAUUGGAGGAGAGGUAAUGGUAUGGGGCUGUUUUUCAGGGGUUGGGUAGGCAAGCCUCUUACUGCCAGUAAAAGAAAAACUUAAUGUUUCAGCAUACCAAGACCUUUUGGACAAUGCUAUGUUUAUGACUUUGUGGUAACAGUUUGGGGAAGGUCCUUUUCUAUUCCAGCAUGACUGUGCCCCAUAUGCUCCUUACAGGAGAGCUCACUAACACACAGAUUCACUACAGACAAGCUCACUGACACACACAUGCUCACUACAGACAAGUUCACGACCACACACAUGCUUACUACAGACAAGCUCACUGCAAACACAUGCUCACCACAGACAGGCUAAUACACACCCAUGCUCACUAACACACACACGAUCCCUACAGACAAGCUCACUGACACAUACAAGCUCAUUCACUAGCAGAUGCGCACACAAAAAAGCAAACUCACCAGCAGAUGCGCGCGCGCACACACACACACACACACACAAGCUCACUCACCACACACACAGACACGCAGGCAGUCACACACACACUCACAGACCUGCUUCUUACCUCCAGAUCCCUUGGAGCUCCUGGAGACUGGUUGCUGGGGGAAGCAGGGACUCCUUCCUGCUUCCCAUGCUGCAGUUACCUGGCUCAUUCAGCCCCACCCCCGUCGCACGCUAAGCUCCGCAAUAUAAUUUUUUUUUUAUUAUAAUCCUGGCUGGUCAUGUGCGAGCUGUGUUGGCCUGCUCCCAUAGGGCCCUGUGCAGACUGAUCAGGGAUGAUUAGGGUUGUCAGCCCAGCCCCAGGUGCCGCGGCCCACCGUGAAAUUUCCCGGUAUGUCUGGACUACCGCUUUAAUCACUUGGACAAGUGGAUACUUUUUACAUUUCCACACCUCUACAUUGCAAGCUAAUAUGUCAUACCAAAAAAGAUAACAUUCAAAAGAAAGUACAUGCAUGUUUUCUUUGGUGGUUUAACCAUUAAAUCAUAAACUAUUUAGUUUUUUUUUCUUCUUCCAAUGGAGUGUUCCUCCAAGAGCCAAGAACAACAUAAUCAAAAACCGCAGAGCACAGUAGCAGUGGACUGCACAGUUUAAAUUAUGCUGUUCAAAUGAUGCAACAAACUGACGCAUGUCGCCAAAAGAAAACUUGUGCUCCAGGUAUAUAUAGAAAUUAAAAGUUACUCCAAGGACAAUGACUAUUUCAGUGAUCUGAAGUGGUCAUGGUGCCUGGAAUCUGUAUGACAAGCAUUUUGUUAUGAAACACUGCACAUAUGGAGUUCAAUCCCUCUGGCAGCUUCAUUGGGGUGUCAUUAGCCUGUCAAUUCUGUGCAACUUUCAUUGCACAGAAAUUCACUCACUGGUUGAGAGCAAUCAGCCGACACUCAAUCAAUGGAUGUUAAUGGCUGCAGGUUCCGAAGCUCGGCAGAAACCAGAAGUGCGCCACCAGACCAUGUAAUGGCAAACCUUUGCUAACUGGGCCAGAGUGCUCCUGACACUAUAACCACUACAGCCCACUGUAGUGGUUAUGGUGGUUGGAGUAACCCUUUAACUGCUUUUUACUGGAUAAAAAAAACAAAAACAACUCGACAACUUCAUAUAAAAUUAACUAAUGCAUCUCAAGUUAUAAUGAGAACUUAUUCCUAGGCUUCUGUACCAAGUUAGCCAGCUUGAUUCACCUGCAGAACAUCCACACACAGGCAAAGCCUAGACAAUAGGCUGCCAAAAUGAAUAAACACUUGUCCAGUAGAACAAAAAUCAUCAGAAUCAGAUCUUAACAUUUAGAAACUGAUUAAUCGGAUACCAGGACUCGCUACUUUUGAUUGAAAAUGUAGCCUUGGCAAAAAGAAAUUCAACCAUGGUGAAUAUGCUAUGGACUCUCCAG